GCAGCUACAAAAAAGAUUGUAGAUUGAUUGGCGCCCGCGCCACCACCAGAGUUUCACUGCCCCUCCCCCUCUCCAUUCCCGCCGUUGGCUGCUCAGUCAGCGCAAGAAGCAGGACUGACUGACUGAUUCCACCAUAGGAGAGCAUCUACACUUUUAGGAGAGACGACAAACGCAACGGAUUUUGCUGUGGCCUCCACUGGCCAACCCUAUUAAAAUUUUCUGGGGGCGCCACUGCCAAUAGGAGGCGAGGCAGCUCUCGGCGAAUGGGAACAACGCGCACCCCUGAAACAAUUCAUCGAGCAGCCAAUGAGGCGAGGGGGACCCGUGCCUGAGCGCUGUAUGCUGCCAGCUGUUGUUGGCUAGUCCCUCAGAGACAUGGAGGUGUGGAAACGAUAGGGAGGCUGACAGCACUUACUGUUCCUGCUGUGUCCAGGAUCUCUAACAUGCACUGCUGGCCAUCCACCUCCACUUGCUG